rnacentral:lncRNA from 12 species
CAAAACAAUAUGCCAGCACAGAGAAAGGCAUGAAGAUGAGCAAUAUAAGGAUGCUGCUUUCAUGAAUCCCAUGGUUUAGUGGGGAAGAUACUCCCACACAUCCAGUCAUGCAUCAAAUAUUUUCUGAACUUACAAGGGGGAUAGAAAGAUAUACCUGUAAUUAAUAAAUGUAUGAACGAAGUGCUGAUGACACUGGAAGAAGGGAAUGAUUAACUUAGUGUGGAGAUGACAGUGUGUUAGAUGGUGAGGUGGAAAAGGGGCAUUCUGGACUGAAACUGGGGAACAUAGUGAACUUCUCACUACUCUGCAAAUAAGUCACGCCCAUUUAUGACUUAUGUUUCCAAUUCAGAGACCAGGGCAGGAUUCAUGUCUAGGUAGAGGUGCUUCUGAAAUGAAGAACAGGAUUUGGGGAUUUAGUGACUACAGGGAAGGACUGCAGUUGGCUUAUAAGAGGUUGGGUUAUAAAAUGCUAAGAGAAGACAAGAAAAACUCUUAAAGGGGAAUUGCAAGCUCAGAAUUAUGCAUGAGAAUAACUCUGUGUGUGUGUGUGUGUGUGUGUAUGGACCUGCAUAUAUGUAUGUGCUAGAGAUAUAACACACAGGCUGCCUUUUUCCUCCUUUUACUCAAUAUUUUUAACCCCAGAUUUUGUAUACAUUAAUCAAGAAUUUUUUUUUUCAGUAUUUGAGCAACAACAGACAGCAUGUGGUUUCAACAUCAAGCUUACCACUGACUCAUUUGUCUUGCAGCAACUGAGACUUUUCAUUGUCAAUAACAUUAAUUAUACCUAUCACUCAUUCUAAAAUUACCUUUAUUAUUUUCCCCUCCUUAUAACAUUCUCUCCACACAGGCUUGCAUUUGGGUGGCUGGAGAUUAGUGAUGGCAGCCCUGAGAAGAUUGUUUCUGAUUAGUGGACAACAUAAACAAAAGAAACAGCCAGCAAACUUUUGGAAGCUUCUGUACAGACAACCUGCCAGUAUGUCAGAUCUGAAGAGACCAGGAACUCUUGCAGUGUCUUGGCUCCUCCAGACCCAUCUUCAUCAUCCUCUCGCCUGCUCUGUGCUCAGGAGACUGACCAGUAUGGACCACAUCAGUGGGUUCCCUUGUCUUCUGAGUUCUGGGUGA